UACGGAGGGUGCAAGCGUUAUCCGGAUUCACUGGGCGUAAAGGGUGCGUAGGUGGGUUGGUAAGUCAGUGGUGAAAUCUCCAGGCUUAACUUGGAAACUGCCAUUGAUACUAUCAAUCUUGAAUACCGUGGAGGUCAGCGGAAUAUGUCAUGUAGCGGUGAAAUGCUUAGAUAUGACAUAGAACACCAAUUGCGAAGGCAGCGGGCUACACGAAUAUUGACACUGAUGCACGAAAGCGUGGGGAUCAAACAGG
rnacentral:rRNA from 1 species